AAAUUUGAUUAUGCUUUGGUGGGUGUGGUUUGCCUCUGGAAAUUCAAUUGCCACUCUUUACUAAUGCUGUGAAGCUUAGAGAGCCUAAAGUCCCUGCCCUUAUUUAUGCAAGGGAGGUGCACCUGUCUUCAUUUAUAAAGGAGCUGGCACCAGGAAAAAUCAAACCAGUUCUGCACCAUGGGGAAGAAGCAGCUUAAGACGGAGGUAGCUCCACAGUGUGAGCUAAAAUCCUAUUCCAAGAACUCGGGGCCUCAGGUAUCCACCAUGGUGUUGGGUCCUGAACAGAAGAUGUCAGAUGAGAAUGCUUCUGGAGACCAUGGGGACACUGCCAGUCUUGGUGCCUUCAACCCUGCCUACAGUAACUCCUCUCUUCCACAGUCCAGGGAGCACUCAGAGGAGCCCUUUGACACCUACUUUAAUGAGAAGAUCGCUGUUCCUGAGGAGGAGUACUCUUGUUUUAGCUUUCGUAAACUCUGGGCUUUCACGGGACCAGGCUUUCUUAUGAGCAUCGCUUACUUGGAUCCGGGAAACAUUGAAUCCGAUUUGCAGUCUGGAGCAGUGGCUGGAUUUAAGUUGCUCUGGGUCCUGCUGUUGGCCACCAUUGUGGGGCUGCUGCUCCAGCGACUUGCAGCUAGACUGGGAGUGGUCACUGGGCUGCAUCUUGCUGAAGUAUGUCACCGUCAGUAUCCCAAGGUCCCACGAAUCAUCCUGUGGCUGAUGGUGGAGUUGGCUAUUAUUGGCUCAGAUAUGCAAGAAGUCAUUGGCUCAGCCAUUGCCAUCAAUCUUCUGUCUUUAGGAAGGGUUCCUCUAUGGGGUGGAGUCCUCAUCACCAUUGCAGAUACCUUUGUGUUUCUCUUUUUGGACAAAUAUGGCUUGCGGAAGCUAGAAGCAUUUUUUGGGUUUCUUAUCACUGUUAUGGCCCUCACCUUUGGAUAUGAGUAUGUUACAGUGAAACCCAGCCAGAGCCAGGUACUGAAGGGCAUGUUCGUGCCAUCCUGUUCAGGCUGUCACACCCCACAGAUCCAGCAGGCUGUGGGCAUCGUGGGAGCUGUCAUCAUGCCACACAACAUGUACCUGCAUUCUGCCUUAGUCAAGUCUAGACAGGUAAACCGGAAUAAUAAACAGGAAGUUCGAGAAGCCAAUAAGUACUUUUUCAUUGAAUCCUGCAUUGCUCUCUUUGUUUCCUUCAUCAUCAACGUCUUUGUUGUCUCAGUCUUUGCUGAAGCAUUUUUUGAGAAAACCAACGAGCAGGUGGUUGAAGUCUGUCAAAAUAGCAGCAGUCCCCAUGCUGGCGUCUUUCCUAACGAUAACGCAACACUGGCUGUGGACAUCUACAAAGGGGGUAUUGUGCUGGGAUGUUACUUUGGGCCUGCUGCACUGUACAUCUGGGCAGUGGGCAUCCUGGCUGCAGGACAGAGCUCCACCAUGACAGGAACCUACUCUGGCCAGUUUGUCAUGGAGGGAUUCCUGAACCUAAAAUGGUCACGCUUUGCCCGAGUGAUUCUGACCCGCUCUAUUGCCAUCAUUCCCACUCUGCUUGUUGCUGUCUUCCAAGAUGUAGAGCAUCUAACAGGGAUGAAUGAUUUCCUGAACGUUCUGCAGAGCUUACAGCUUCCCUUUGCUCUUAUACCCAUCCUCACGUUUACAAGCUUGCGGCCAGUAAUGAGUGACUUUGCCAAUGGAAUAGGCUGGAGGAUUGCAGGCGGGAUCCUGGUCCUUAUCAUCUGUUCCAUCAACAUGUAUUUUGUAGUGAUUUAUGUCCAGGAACUAGGUCAUGUGGCAUUAUACGUGGUGGCUGCUGUGGUCAGUGUGGCUUAUCUGGGCUUUGUGUUCUACUUGAGUUGGCAAUGCUUGAUUGCACUGGGCAUGUCCUUCCUGGACUGUGGGCACACGUACCACCUGGGAUUGACAGCGCAGCCUGAACUUUACCUUCUGAACGCCAUGGACGCUGACUCACUUGUGUCUAGAUGACUGACAGCCUGAGAGACGAUACAAGAACCACUUUUUCUAAGCCCUUUUGUGCCAGGGGUCCUGUUAACAUAUCUCUGUUAGUUCAGAGGUUAGUGUACAAGACACAUUUUUCAUGAGAUUUAGAAGGCAAAAGUGAAGCAGCGGCCAAAUUCUUAUGCUUGGAAGAUACUGUUGCAGCACAUUUUUGCUCAUCUGCUGGCCCAUUUUGUCAGCAUGGGCAGCAAUCACGAGUAUGGCUACUAUGGCUCCUGCUGAAAUUCCUCCUUCAUCUUCUCUGACACCUUUGCCAGCUCCAUGCCAGCUCCAGAAUAAAGGGCAUUGGCUUUUUCUAUAUUUUACUUCCAUCAUUGAAUGUGGAGGCUUGAAGAUGCUUAAAAAACCAUAAGGAUGGUUUGCAGGUUCUGAUUUUCCUUGCUUCUCCCACUUUAGAACAUUUUUCCUUCCUAAUUCUUUGCCCUGCCCACUUGAGGCCCCAGCUCCAGAUUCAUAAGCAACAGCCUCAUAAUUAUACAAGUCCAAAUACCUAAUAAAUCUCUUAUUAAAUAUUACUAGUUUUGCUUUUCUCAUUCAACACUGAUUGAGUCACCUACCACACCAAACUAUGCAGGGUUCCACUAACAUGCCAUGCUUCUGUGUCUUUGUUUUUUUCUCUGCCUAGAAUCCUGAUCUCCUUCUCUGCCUGUUUAACUCCUCUAUAUUCUUGGAUCCUCACACAGUUUACAUCCUUAGAGAAGCCUGCCCUGACCUCCCAGCCCUAGUUAAAUACUACUCCUUUAUGCUGGUGCUUCCAUAGCAACCUGUGUAUCUCUGUCACAGCAUCCAUGACUUUAUAUUGUAGUCUUCUCUUCCCGGUCUGUGUCUGUAAGGAGACUAAACUAUUUGAUGGUAAGAACUUGAAACCUCAUGUCUCUAGACCAGCACAGUGUCUGGCACAUAGCAGGUGUUAAAUAAGUGUUUGCUGAAUGAUGAAAAUGAGGACUGUGACUUUGCAAUAAAGCUUCUUGUUGUAUUUGGUUCAAGACUCACAUAUCACAGCUUGUAACAAUAAGAUAAUUACCACAUAACUGUCUAUAUGCAAGCCCCACACCCGUCAUUCCAUAAUCCCCAACCUACUCUCAGACUGACUCUAUUCUGCACAGCAUGAAGGGGAGCUAAAAACAUUGUGACUUGUUCUUAAUGUAGACAAAAAAAUUUAGAUAAUUUAGGUCCUAAAAUGGACCUGUUAUUAUAACUGAUUUAGCUGUUGAUACAACCUGAAUUAACCAAGAUGAUUUACACCUGUUGUCUGGAUUUGACUGUAUUGGUGUUUACUUAAUUUAUGGACUAAUUAAAAAAAAAGAUUUGCCUAGUGCUCAAACUUGGAAUAAAAGGGGAAGGCAGCUGUUGAGAUCUGUAGGCUCUAAAAUGUCUUCUUCUCACUUAAACUAUUUUAAUAACUACAUCUGCUGUUCAUAUAUGCUGGGAAGUAUGAUCACUGCUCUUAGCCAUGUAAUAUAGGCUAUGAUCUAAAACUGCUUUCCUUAGCUGAGUUAUUUAAGAUAGGAACUAUUCACUGCUCACUUCACUACGGAGAUUAACAACCUAUCACACCCUACUGGGAGGCUUUGUCAGUUUUUGUCAGCUGAAAAUCCUAAGAAAUUCAGCCCAUCACUGGGCAGCAACCUCAACCAAGUGAGGAUCAAUCUUUCUUACCCUUCUCUUAGUACAUCAUCUUGACCCAAUAUUCAUCUUCUACUAUUAAUGAAUAAAAUAAAUAAAAAUACUUUUAAACUCAGCUGAACAUAAGACACAAAUUAUGCAGGUUACCUAGAGUCACAGCUCCUACAACAAAUCCUUGGGCAGCAACUCUCAGGUGAAUAAGAUGAAUGGACAUUUUCUGAUCUCUUCUGUACUUCAACUUGUAAAGACCAUAAGACACCACAGUCACAAAACCUGCUAUACCUGUGAAUUUAAAAAGUAAGGGUUAAAUAAACACCAGGCAAGAAUUCUCAACUGCUUACAGAGUUAGAUGAAAGACUGCCUAGGCCAGGUGCGGUGGCUCACACCUGUAAUCCUAGCACUCUGGGAGACCGAGGCAGGAGAAUCGCUUGAACUCAGG